rnacentral:ncRNA from 1 species
CGACCCCAGGUCAGUCGGGACUACCCGCUGAGUUUAAGCAUAUAAAUAAGCGGAGGAGAAGAAACUUACGAGGAUUCCCCUAGUAACGGCGAGCGAACCGGGAGCAGCCCAGCUUGAGAAUCGGGCGGCCUCGCCGCCCGAAUUGUAGUCUGGAGAGGCGUCCUCAGCGACGGACCGGGCCCAAGUUCUCUGGAAAGGGACGCCUGGGAGGGUGAGAGCCCCGUCCGGCCCGGACCCUGUCGCACCACGAGGCGCCGUCAACGAGUCGGGUUGUUUGGGAAUGCAGCCCAAAUCGGGCGGUAAACUCCGUCCAAGGCUAAAUACAGGCGAGAGACCGAUAGCGAACAAGUACCGCGAGGGAAAGAUGAAAAGGACUUUGAAAAGAGAGUCAAAGAGUGCUUGAAAUUGCCGGGAGGGAAGCGGAUGGGGGCUGGCGACG